rnacentral:rRNA from 1 species
CCUACGGGGGGCAGCAGUGGGGAACAUUGCACAAUGGGCGCAAGCCUGAUGCAGCCAUGCCGCGUGUAUGAAGAAGGCCUUCGGGUUGUAAAGUACUUUCAGCGGGGAGGAAGGUGUUGUGGUUAAUGACCACAGCAAUUGACGUUACCCGCAGAAGAAGCACCGGCUAACUCCGUGCCAGCAGCCGCGGUAAUACGGAGGGUGCAAGCGUUAAUCGGAAUUACUGGGCGUAAAGCGCACGCAGGCGGUCUGUCAAGUCGGAUGUGAAAUCCCCGGGCUCAACCUGGGGACUGCAUUCGAAACUGGCAGGCUAGAGUCCUGUAGAGGGGGGUAGAAUUCCAGGUGUAGCGAUGAAAUGCGUAGAGAUCUGGAGGAAUACCGGUGGCGAAGGCGGCCCCCUGGACAAAGACUGACGCUCAGGUGCGAAAGCGUGGGGAGCAAACAGGAUUAGAUACCCCUGUAGUC